ensembl:snoRNA
CUGCACAUUUCAUUGACACACUCCCAGUAUUGUGAUGAGCCGUGUUAUUUCUAAUGUGCUAAAUCAAUAGGAGGCUAAUUAGCAGUGUAAUGGAAUUGUUACCACUGCCAGUCCCCUUCUCACAGCC